rnacentral:rRNA from 1 species
CAGCAGUGGGGAAUCUUCCGCAAUGGACGAAAGUCUGACGGAGCAACGCCGCGUGAGUGAUGAAGGAUUUCGGUCUGUAAAGCUCUGUUGUUUAUGACGAAUGUGCAGUGUGUGAACAAUGCAUUGCAAUGACGGUAGUAAACGAGGAAGCCACGGCUAACUACGUGCCAGCAGCCGCGGUAAUACGUAGGUGGCGAGCGUUGUCCGGAAUUAUUGGGCGUAAAGAGCAUGUAGGCGGCUUAAUAAGUCGAGCGUGAAAAUGCGGGGCUCAACCCCGUAUGGCGCUGGAAACUGUUAGGCUUGAGUGCAGGAGAGGAAAGGGGAAUUCCCAGUGUAGCGGUGAAAUGCGUAGAUAUUGGGAGGAACACCAGUGGCGAAGGCGCCUUUCUGGACUGUGUCUGACGCUGAGAUGCGAAAGCCAGGGUAGCGAACGGGAUUAGA